AAUCUUCCACAAUGGCCGAAAGUCUGAUGGAGCAACUCCGCGUGAGUGAAGAAGGUUUUCGUCUCGUAAAACUCUGUUGUAAGGGAAGAACAAGUACAGUAGUAACUGGCUGUACCUUGACGGUACCUUAUUAGAAAUCCACGGCUAACUACGUGCCACCUUCCGCGGUAAUACGUAGGUGGCAAGCGUUGUCCGGAAUUAUUUGGCGUAAAGCGCGCGCAGGCGGUCCGUUAAGUCUGAUGUGAAAGCCCACGGCUCAACCGUGGAGGGUCAUUGGAAACUGGAGGACUUGAGUGCAGAAGAGGAAAGUGGAAUUCCAAGUGUAGCGGUGAAAUGCGUAGAGAUUUGGAGGAACACCAGUGGCGAAGGCGACUUUCUGGUCUGUAACUGACGCUGAGGCGCGAAAGCGUGGAGAGCAAACAGG
rnacentral:rRNA from 1 species